NUGUUUUCUUUUCUUUUUUUCCUUUUUUUUUUUCAAAUAUACGAAAUUAAUCACGUCAUACGAUCGAAUCGAACGAAGAUGUCGAAUUCAAACGGAACCCGUUCAUUUUUUAUUAUCAUUUGUUGUACGCGGAUUUAUCGUGUCGAGCCUAUCACGAAGAUGGCCGCUCGAUCUACGCUUUCGACCAUGUCGAGCCUAUCGCGAAAAUGGCCGCACGGUUUAUGUUUUCGACAAUGUCGAGCCUAUCACGAAGAUGGCUGCACGGUUUUCGUAACAAGAUAAAUGGUGCUCGAUCACCCAUUUUGACCAGUCGAGCCUAUCACGAAGAUGGCCGCACGGUUUACGUAGUAAAAUAUUCGGUGUUCGUUCGACCAUGUCGAGCCUAUCACGAAGAUGGCCGCACGGUUAGAGAUUAGCGAUGCAUACGUACGGCGAAAAUGACGACUUGAUGUAAAAUUUGAUCGGUUCGAAACCUAUCACGAAGAUGGUCGGGUUGAUCAAACCAACAAAAAGUCGCACUUGCACUAUUCGUAUGCAUGCAUUUCUCUUGUUGUCGUCGGGGAAGUCGCCAUGAUCGCCGUCGUCAUCGUCGUCGUCGGAAUCGUCGUAGCCGUCGCCGUCGUGAGUGAAAGAG
rnacentral:lncRNA from 1 species